rnacentral:lncRNA from 1 species
AAAUUAGCAGGAAUUUUAGUUUGAGAAUUUUCCCUUCAUUUGGUAUCCACUCUCUGCCCUGGAAGGCAUACUCACGCAAUUUUAGCACUUCUAGAUUGGGCAAGGAACCAAAAAUACUUAUGUAUUCCCAAUCAAUUCUACCACGCUCCAAAGUUAUCUUUUUGAGACUUGAUGGCAAAGUAAUGUUAAUGAAUGUAGAAUUUGUUGGUGAGUCCAAGAGAAUCUUUAGUGUUUUUAGCCUUCGGAGAUGAGCAAAAUGGUUGAGAGAGUGAGAUGACUCAGAAUUAUAAUGAAUUCCCAAUUUC